UUCAUGGGGAGCCACCAAGGAGAGCUGCUGACCCUGGCACCCUGGUAGAGACACACCGAAGCUGCAAGGUGGGUGCUGGCAAGAGCUGGCCAGCUGGUUCUGUCUGCAGCACAGGGGCCGUGGGCUCAUAGAGCAAACAGCCACUGCACAAACACACAGGAUCAACUGCAAGUUGCUCACAGGAGGGAAGAAGUCACAAAGAAAUGUGGCAGGAAGCGACUGCUCAUAACCUAUGUGUAUCCAAGGCAGGAAGGGGAGGAAAUAAAAAUCACUUGAAGUUCUCAGUUCCAAGAGCUCAAGAGCCAGCUGACAGCGACUGCAGAGGGGACCAGCCCAAAUCUGUUUCAGAGUCUCGAGGUCACAGAUAGUAGAAAUCUUGGAGGAAAGAAACAUCAGAAUCGAAACAGCGCUGAGUCACCAGGCUCUUCGUUCCUGACAGGGUGGUUUUUCUCUGUUGUGACUGACAGCCAAACAGUGCUGCUUACCUGUGCA